GACGAACGCUGGCGGCGUGCGUAACACAUGCAAGUCGAACGGUAAGGCCCUUCGGGGUACACGAGUGGCGAACGGGUGAGUAACACGUGGGUGAUCUGCCCUGCACUUCGGGAUAAGCCUGGGAAACUGGGUCUAAUACCGGAUAGGACCCUGGGAUGCAUGUCCUGGGGUGGAAAGCUUUUGCGGUGUGGGAUGGGCCCGCGGCCUAUCAGCUUGUUGGUGGGGUGAUGGCCUACCAAGGCGACGACGGGUAGCCGGCCUGAGAGGGUGACCGGCCACACUGGGACUGAGAUACGGCCCAGACUCCUACGGGUGGCAGCAGUGGGGAAUAUUGCACAAUGGGCGCAAGCCUGAUGCAGCGACGCCGCGUGAGGGAUGACGGCCUUCGGGUUGUAAACCUCUUUCAGCACCGACGAAGCGCAAGUGACGAUAGGUGCAGAAGAAGGACCGGCCAACUACGUGCCAGCCGCCGCGGUAA
rnacentral:rRNA from 1 species